rnacentral:rRNA from 1 species
UACGAAGGGGGCUAGCGUUGUUCGGAAUCACUGGGCGUAAAGCGCACGUAGGCGGAUAUGUAAGUCAGAGGUGAAAGCCCAGGGCCUAACCUUGGAACUGCCUUUGAAACUACAUAUCUAGAGACUCGGAGGGGAUAGCGGAAUUCCAAAUGUAGGGGUGAAAUCCGUAGAUAUUUGGAGGAACACCGGUGGCGAAGGCGGCUAUCUGGACGAGUACUGACGCUGAGGUGCGAAAGAGUGGGGAGCAAACAGG